AAAUAUUUAAAAUUAUUUAUUAUUUUUAAUCAAAAUAAAAAAUAAAAACAAAGAUAACCCCAACCUUUCACUCGAUCUUCUACUUCUUCUAUUAAUGUUUCCAUUGGCAGACCAGCAGCCAACACUUAGCCCCGCUUUUCUUCUUCUUAUUUGGCCUUCUUCGCGAAUCUGAGCUAGAUCCACCUCCAUCUUCUUUGGUCUUCUUUGCAAAACUGAACCAGACCCAGCUCCUUGUUCGGUCUUCUUCGUUGGCAGAUGAACCUCCUUCAGAACCUGAACUAACCUCGUUUCCCACGCCACCAAGGCCCAUGUCGUUGUGCCUUUGAAUAUUUGGAUAUGGGUUUGGGUCCCUUCUGACUGUUUCUUCUUCUUCUUCGACAUUUUUGGUUCUUCAAUGGCUACUAUUACUGGGUGGGUUCACCUCCAGAUUCGUGUUGUGCGAUGGCUGUAAUGGGCUUGCACGUGGUGUUGUGCCUGUGGAAUUUGCUGUGCUAUGAAUAUGACUGUUGUUUGUGGAAUCUCCUGUGCCUCACCAUUAAGAUUGAUUCGGUUGUUUGGGAAUUGUGACUUUGUGUAGUUGCAGAUUGUUAAUGAAACUUGUUGAAAUUAGUUCAAA